rnacentral:ncRNA from 2 species
GACAGCAUCUGCGGCGAUGGUUUCUGGAUAUCAAAGCUGAGUCCGGGAUGAAAAGGGAACACGGUGCGGUGUAACCAUCAGGUGCCAAUUCCGUGACUGCCCCCGCAACUGUAAGCGGCGAGCUAUUCUGAGAUUAACCACUGCCCCAAAGGGGGCGGGAAGGUUCAGAAGAUGCAUCGACCCGCAAGUCAGGAGACCUGCCAUCUUGUUAUCAACGCG